CUCCGACGUGCCUGAGCGCUGAGAAACGUGUAUCUGGACCUGUGCCGCUGCCUUUAACCCAGAGGGUCUCCAGAGUGGUUUGUAUGAAGCCAAGCCUCGCUACAGCUGGUGUGAAGCUGACCAGAAACGUCCCUGCUUCGCAGCUGGGUGACUGGGGACUCAGAAAGGGGAAGUGAUGCACCCAAGGCAACAAUGUGAAUACAACAAGAAGCGGCAGGCUCCCUGUUCAGCUAUGACAAACCUGGAGCUGGGUUAAAUGCAGCUUUAGUGCAACUCCACAACAGCCCAAAUUCAUGCCUGAUGACCGAAAACCUUUGCUGGAGAGAGAGCUUCGUGGGGUCUAAGCUGUAUUGCAAGGGGAGAGGAUGGGGGAACAGACCAGAAGGAACAGGCUGUCAACAAGAGACUUUUGGGAAAGCUGUCAGACUGAAGUAACAAAAGAAGAUGAAAUUGUGAGGAGAGAAGAAAGGUUGCAUAUUGUGUUUGAGGAUUCAUCAGUUUCACUUUUAGCUCAUAACUUUAAGGAAAAAAUUAUUUUUAAGCUAAAACUUGAGGACUGCAAUGUUGUAGUGUGUUUUUUUUUCUUUCCUUUUUUCCCCCCACUUGCACUAGAACUGGGUCAGAACCUCAAAUCUUCCUUGAAACUCCCCGGAAUCACUUACAAUAUGAAUGUACGGAUAUCACUUUGUCUCAGCCAUCCCUCUCCUGCAUUUAGGGGUAAACAGAAGCCAUGUGUUCUGAAAUUUAAGGUGCUUAGAUAGCCCCCAUUUCAGUAUUAGCUGAGCUCCUUGCAAUCUUUAAUAUGUUAUCCCCACAACACACCUGUGAGGUAGAGCAGUGCUAUUAUGCCCAUUUUACAGAUGGGAAACUGAGACACAGAGUGGCUAGGAGCUAGAUCCACAAAGAGGUCUUAGACUCAGUGUUGCAACACCUAGCAUUUAGGUGCCCUGCCACCUCGUGGAAUCCAUAGCUCUGAGUUAGGUGCCCAUACAACGUAUGGUGAUGGGAGUUGCGUUAUGCUUAACCCAUAACAACAAGGUUUAAGAGCUAGGUGCCCCUUAAAACAAAGGCAUUUGAACUAUGUGGGUGGAGGGCUUUUUGCUGGGUGGUAUUUGGAUAAGGAGGGGACAGUGGGGGGAGAGAGAGCACACAAAGCAAGAUCAGAGAGACGGAAGCAGAAAGCAAGACAAGAAG